GACAGAGGGUGCAAACGUUGCUCGGAACCACUGGGCGUAAAGGGCGUGUAGGCGGGAAGGAAAGUCGGGCGUGAAAUCCCUGGGCUCAACCCAGGAACUGCACUCGAAACUUCUUUUCUUGAGUGCCGGAGAGGAAAGCGGAAUUCCUGGUGUAGAGGUGAAAUUCGUAGAUAUCAGGAGGAACACCAGUGGCGAAGGCGGGUCUCUGGGCCGAUAUUGACGCU
rnacentral:rRNA from 1 species